CAUUAUGCUCAGCCGUAAACUUUGAUAGCCUGCUACACCCGCUAUCCGCCCGGGUACUACGAGCACCAGCUUAAAACCCAAAGGACUUGGCGGUGCUUAACAUCCAUCUAGAGGAGCCUGUCCAAUAACCGAUAAUCCCCGUUAAACCUCACCCUCCCUUGUCUUUCCCGCCUAUAUACCGCCGUCGUCAGCUCACCCUUUGAGGGAACCAUAGUAAGCAAAAUUGGCACAGCCCAGUACGUCAGGUCGAGGUGUAGCUAAUGAGAGGGGAUGAGAUGGGCUACAUUUCCUAAACAAGGAAAUACGAAUAAUGAUUCUGAAACGAGCAUUAGAAGGAGGAUUUAGUAGUAAGUAGAAAACAGAGUGUUCUACUGAAUUGGCCACUUAAGCGCGCACACACCGCCCGUCACUCUCCCCAAGCUAAACAAAAUUUAUUCCUAAAACCCCUAUCUGCAACAGGGGAGGCAAGUCGUAA
rnacentral:rRNA from 1 species